UUUAGCAACGCACCUACGAUAAAGAAGCACUGACUUGCAACUAAAGGUUUAUUGUUGCAAGACAGAUGUUUAUCGCUUUCAUCUUUGUUUACUCAUUCAGCCUGUCUUGCAGCAAUGAACCUUUUUGAGUUCACCACCUGUGCAUGUAGAGUUUGUGCAUGCAUCUAGAGAUGCCUGUACAUGCCUGUAAAUAAAAAGAAAUGUAAUGAACCUCCAACCAGACCCCAUUGAAAAUUGCGGUUAUAUGCUGCAAGUUGUAAAGCCUGUCGGGGCGUUCUAGCAGCGCAAGCAUUUUUCAAAUUGUUUUAUUAUUAUUAGAAGAGGUAGCAGAAAGGGAAAAGUCUUGCCACAACAUAGCCAGGAGGCGAGGUUCACUGCCAACAUAGACAACCUCUACCUCUCCCACAACUAUCAUCCACAAGCCACAUUCCUUACAUUUUUUUUUCUUUGUGUUCCGUGGCUCAGUUCCAGAGUUGGUUUUGCAUGUUCUGCAUUGGAUGUUUGGCCAAAGUCUUUGUACGUAAUCAGUGACAUUGAAGGCAGUGUAUAAAUGAGAGAUUUAUACGUAUGACCCUGCUUCUCUGGCAGGAAGCAGGGCUACCUGACGGGAGCCGUGAACAGCAUGUGAGCUUUAAAAAAUUUCUUAAGCUGAAAAAAAUGUAAAAAAUUUCUGCGGCUGUCAUGCUGUUCUGCAGUUGUUUAAUACUUUGCAGGCACGAUCGCCACUAUAUGACUUACACACCACUGCAGAGUCUAGCCGCCUCAAUCCCCACACAUUGAAAGACUGGCCGGACCCACCAACGUCGCCGCAGAGGCCGCAGAUGCUUUCUGCGCUCCCGCCGCCUUUGCAAGAGCAGCAGCAGCGAAAGCUUCUUUCUCAUGUGGUACAUUGCGGGGAGAGAACGCUGAUGCCGGCGAAGCAAGCGGCUAAGCAAGAGCUCGGCAGCAACGUCGUGCGUGGUCGCGCGCAGAUGUCAGCUGCAGUUUGGCUUUGAAUUCUGCCCCCCCCAAGCCUCCAAGAACCAGCACUCAUCCCCUUCUGCCACUAGCCAUUGCUCAUCCAUUCUCUUGUACGAAAUAAAUUUCAUCUUGAAGCUUGUG